UUUAGGUUCACGGUUUCAGCUGUAAUUGGAAAAAUGUGUUUUUAAUUAAAAUGUGCACCUGGCUUCUUUUGGCUUGACUGCACGGUUUUAAAUGGUCGUGAAUGGGUAUUAAAUGUGGGUUGCUGUAGAGGGCGCUCUUUCCCCCAAACAGAAAUCAAUAACAUUUACAAAAGGGCAAAGAGGCAGGUUUUUGUGUUGUUUUGUUUUGUUUUUUUAUAUAGGGAUUAAACUCUGCAAGUAGGAGUAAAACUAAAGCACCAUUUUUUGUCUUAGUUUGCUACUUCCUUUUUUUAUUUAACGUUGCCUUAUCUUUACUGAUGUUGUAUACAUGGCAUGUGUUAUUUUUCUUACACUCUUGCAUGCCAUUGUGAUUUUUCAGCAGCCUUUUCUUCAUGAUCUUAUCUUAUAUCUUAUCUUUAAUGCUUAUUGUUAAGAUUUUUCUUCUCCCCUAAUAGCAAAGAUUCAUACAGCUGCGCAAUUUUUCAGAAGCAAACUUUAUUUUUACGUUAAUAAGAAUAAUUAGUUAGGAGUCAACUUUUUUUUUUUACUUUGAGUGAAAUGACUGGACAAUGCUGACACGUGUCCAGAACCAUAAUGAAAUGUCUGCCUUUUGUUUACACAUUCUUCUUUUCAGUUUAAUUCAGGUUUAUUUAUAUUGUGCCAAAUCACAGCAACGGACACCUCAAGGCGCUUUGUACCGUGAGACCCUGCAGUAAGGUACUGUAUUGUGCCUUUGGGUAUGCAACACAGGAUUAUAGCUAAAUUAAUGAGAAAAUGAGUCUUGUUUCGUGCACACUGAUAGUGUCCACACAAAACAUGUAAUUGUUCUCUGUGUCUAAUUCGAAUCAAUUUUACACUUGCUCUGUCAGACUAGAAUUCAUCACCACGAUCCCAUUGAUGCAGCCAUCCUCCUUUUCUGAAUGUCCACUGACCAGUGCUCAUCAAUUUGCAAACCUCUAAUUUUGAAAUCACAGACCCUCUCAUAUGUAAUGGCUACUGUGAAAAUGUGUCUGUUUUUGUUUGUAGGCUUGAAGGCUAAUUUUAAUCAUCUUUUUAUC
ensembl:lncRNA